UUGUAAUGCGCAUUUUAAAGUGAAAUUCCUAAUGUCGUUUUCUAAUCUCUCUCUCUAAAAAAGAAGAAAAAAAAAUCCUAUAAUUUUGGUUUUUAUACAGGUUUUUACUAAAAAAGAAAAAAAUCCUAUAAUUUUGGUUUUCAUAUAGGUUUUUACUCACCAGUGGCUCUAUUACCCCCGAAAUAUUUAAUGUUUAAGGAUUAACAAGAGGCUACGGAAGGAAGCUUGCCCAUUUCCGUCUCCAU
rnacentral:lncRNA from 1 species